AUUGAACGCUGGCGGCAGGCUUAACACAUGCAAGUCGAGCGGAGAGAGGUAGCUUGCUACUGAUCUUAGCGGCGGACGGGUGAGUAAUGCUUAGGAAUCUGCCUAUUAGUGGGGGACAACAUUUCGAAAGGAAUGCUAAUACCGCAUACGUCCUACGGGAGAAAGCAGGGGAUCUUCGGACCUUGCGCUAAUAGAUGAGCCUAAGUCGGAUUAGCUAGUUGGUGGGGUAAAGGCCUACCAAAGCGACGAUCUGUAGCGGGUCUGAGAGGAUGGUCCGCCACACUGGGACUGAGACACGGCCCAGACUCCUACGGGAGGCAGCAGUGGGGAAUAUUGGACAAUGGGGGGAACCCUGAUCCAGCCAUGCCGCGUGUGUGAAGAAGGCCUUAUGGUUGUAAAGCACUUUAAGCGAGGAGGAGGCUCUUUUGGUUAAUACCCAAGAUGAGUGGACGUUACUCGCAGAAUAAGCACCGGCUAACUCUGUGCCAGCAGCCGCGGUAA
rnacentral:rRNA from 1 species